rnacentral:rRNA from 1 species
GACGAACGCUGGCGGCGUGCUUAACACAUGCAAGUCGAACGGAAAGGCCCUGCUUUUGUGGGGUGCUCGAGUGGCGAACGGGUGAGUAACACGUGAGUAACCUGCCCUUGACUUUGGGAUAACUUCAGGAAACUGGGGCUAAUACCGGAUAGGAGCUCCUGCUGCAUGGUGGGGGUUGGAAAGUUUCGGCGGUUGGGGAUGGACUCGCGGCUUAUCAGCUUGUUGGUGGGGUAGUGGCUUACCAAGGCUUUGACGGGUAGCCGGCAUGAGAGGGUGACCGGCCACAUUGGGACUGAGAUACGGCCCAGACUCCUACGGGAGGCAGCAGUGGGGAAUAUUGCACAAUGGGCGGAAGCCUGAUGCAGCAACGCCGCGUGCGGGAUGACGGCCUUCGGGUUGUAAACCGCUUUCGCCUGUGACGAAGCGUGAGUGACGGUAAUGGGUAAAGAAGCACCGGCUAACUACGU